AGAAAGGCGAUAACGGUUAGACAUGGGAACCGAAGCGGUGGGAAGAGAGCAAGAAAGUUUUGCUUUAGUACUGUGCAUGUUGUACACACGUCUAUGUAAGAAUCGUGAGAGCGUCAAGCUUUCGGUGCGUUUGCGGGGACAUUGUGGCCCGUCGCUGAUGCCUGACGUUGUUUUCGGCAUAACGCUGACAUUCCCGUUCGGCUUGUCGCUUUUAAGCUUCUUCGAAGGUCUACCUAGAAAUCUCUGGUGGUCUUGACAACAGUCCAAUUCAUGCCACAAGUUUGAUCAGUCCCUGAAAAAUUUCGGACACGGAGUACAACUCGCAGAGCCAAGACCAAAAGUCCCAGUAGAGUUGGCCGUGGUGGACGGCAAGUGCCCAUCGUCUGGCCCCAGGCGUUGGAGAUAUCCCGAUGGAAUGAAAAUGGAGUCUCCCUUUUCCUGGCAGCCUCUUGACGUCACCGUGCAAGGUUCUUGGAUCCCGCAACUCUUGGCACUCACGAUUCGCACAUCGCUUUUUAGGAACUGCGUUGCCCCUAGGACAAGAACCGUGAUGCUGAUUCGAGGAGGGCCUGCACGUCGAUAGUCACCACUUACGACUCUGUAGGCCGUGGGAUGCAGCAGCAAUGCUACAAGCACGAAAGUAGAAUUGCACGUGCCACUUAGUUUUUCUGACAGGGCAAAAAAAAGGUGAAUACCUCGCCGAUUUGUGAAUCGCUGUAUUGAAUCCUCAGGUACCGCUAUCUUGCAAGCUUCAUUGUCACUUAGGCGGAAUUUAUGUGACCAUUCAUUGAGGAAACAUACCGUAUAGCAAAAUGUUCAGUCAAACUGAAUCGACAGAUUCUUCGCCUAGAAGUCUCUUUCCUUGCUGUGCUGCCACUGCUCUGUUCCUUUUCAAUUCGAACCACCCACAUCGAAAUGAACCAGUUGACAUAGUCUCCGCGUGACCUCCACUACAUCGGGGUCUCUGCGAACCAGCCGCUGUUGACGCCACAAGAUAGCCGCCACAAUAUAGAGGAGGUGAAAGCAGUCCUAUUUUAUUUUCGUCAUUUUAUGGUUUUCAAAAGCACUGUUCUUCCUACAAAUGACAAAUAAAUUAUUGCGAGUGAGUUUCCGUAAUACUCCACUUCUUUUAUUCAUGUACACUAAAAGCCAUUUUUCAGGCAUUAUAUAGGGCUUUAAUUUAUAUUACAUAGCAUGUCGCGGUGAAUAAGAAAUAAAGAUGUAAAGAUAAUGAAGUUAUAAAUAUUUAUAAAGAUAUAAAAGCAAAACGGCUGCCAUUUGCUGAGAGUAUGACUUGAUAAAACAUACUGAAAAAUGCACUGCAAGCAAUGAGAACAUACUGGAAAAAGUAGAACUACAACUCUAGUGACAACAGUAGAGAAUAGUAUAUUUUUAAUCAGUCGGCACAACACAAUUCUAGCAGUCGGCACGCAAUAAGCACUUCAGUUUUCUAACAAAAGUACUAUUUGUAUUGUUUGUACGUAGCGUUUGCUAGCACCACAUGACAUUUUUAUGUAGUGUCCUUUUAACGACGGAAACUUGUAACUUCACCUAUGCUCUGGUAACC